CGAGCUUCCCCGUCAAGCCACAGC
rnacentral:miRNA from 14 species